rnacentral:rRNA from 1 species
AUGCGUUGUGCGAUGCACUCGUGCCCGAAGAACUGGAGCAAAUGGCUGUUUUUGGCUGAAUAUUGGUACAAUACAACUUUUCACUCAUCGCUGGGGCGCACUCCUUUCGAAGUGAUCUAUGAGCACCUGCCGCGAGAAUUUGCAGUUAUACAGGUGGAGGAAAGCUCAGUGCCGGACCUUGCGGCGUGGUUGCAGGAGAGAGGUGUCAUGAUGCAUCACUUGCAGCAGCAGCUGAAACAUGUGCAGGAUCGCAUGAAGAAACAAGCAGACAAGCAUCACACAGAUCGGUCCUUUGAGGUGGGGGAUCUGGUGUUCUUGAAGCUUCAACCAUUCAUUCAGACCUCGGUAGCCUAG